rnacentral:rRNA from 1 species
UACGGAGGGGACUAGCGUUGUUCGGAAUUACUGGGCGUAAAGCGCACGUAGGCGGAUUUGUAAGUCAGGGGUGAAAUCCCGGGGCUCAACCUCGGAACUGCCUUUGAUACUGCAAAUCUCGAGUCCGGAAGAGGUGAGUGGAAUUCCUAGUGUAGAGGUGAAAUUCGUAGAUAUUAGGAAGAACACCAGUGGCGAAGGCGGCUCAUCUGGACGGUUCUGACGCUAGUAGCGAAAGCGUGGGGAGCAAACAGGG